GUCAGUGGGCGGGGCCAUGAAGGACUUACCUGAGGAGGACAGGCGGCGGGCUCCAGCGUGCGAGUUUUGGGACUGUAGUACUGAGGAGGUUAAUACCUGCUGACACCACUGACCAUCAUCCCUAGGAUCAGAGCAUCUCUGACCCUGGUGCCAGGCCCCUCAGUGGCCUGCACCCCUUGAAUGUCCCCAUUUAGGGAGAUUGUUCUGGAGGUGCAGUUUCCAUCAUCAGCUCCUUAAGGAGGAAGAAGAAGAGGAAGAGGAGGAAGAGGGAGAAGAGGA